GUGAAUCAUCGAAUUUUUGAACGCAAAUUGCGCUUCCUGGCAUCCCGGGAAGUAUGCCUGUUUGAGGGUCAGUAUUAAUAAAAAAUCGGUUUAGUUACAAAUUGUGACGUUUCCGGCGUUUGGGCUAUCUUAUAUUUUUGGUUAAGUGGCUUAAAAUUUUACUUUUUUUUCGAAUUUUUAAAGUUUCUUAAUUUUUUUUUUUUCUUUUAUCUUUAUUCCUAAAUUCUUUUAACUUCCUUCCCCU
rnacentral:misc_RNA from 1 species